UUCAAUUUUACUCUUCCCUCUUUCAAACAGUUCCACUUCCCUUCCUACACUUAUCUCUCCAACCCUCUCUCCUUUCUUCCACAAACCCUAACACACACCGCCGUCAUCCCUCUUUCUCCACUAGAUUUAGUGUCACCAAGUCAAAUCCAUAUUUGUACUUACCUUCCUAAUGUACCUGUCGAAAUUUUAUUUCGAACAAUUUCGCCAUUAAAAACCAUUUCUCCAUCUCCGAUCGAUUCGUUAAGAACGACCACCGUGAAUCUAUGUUAAUCGUAUUCCUUGCAAGCUAUAAGAGUAUUUGAAAGAAGAAAAUGCUCGGAUCUUGCAACAGCAAACAUAUUACACGAGUUUCGAUUUUUCAAUCUCUUCUUAUUGUUGAUUUUAGGAUCUGAUUAUUGCUAUAUGAAUGAGAUGGCAGAGAUAGUGGUCAUUCGAAUAUGAGAUAACAUGUUUGCAAAAUGGAAGGUAUCUCCUUUGAUUGACCAUUUAUUUUCAACUUUCUUUAUUGAAACUUCAUGGUUGAUUGUUGCUAAAAUUCUCUUAGCAUUUUUUCUUAACAAGUACA